rnacentral:tRNA from 1 species
GGAGGGGUGGCCGAGUGGUUAAUGGCAGCAGACUGUAAAUCUGCCUUCUUACGAAUACGCUGGUUCGAAUCCAGCCCCCUCCA